GGGCCCGUAGUUUUAUGCAGUAAAACACUACCCUUGACACGUAGAGAAGCGGGUGCAAAUCCCGCCGGGUCCA
rnacentral:tRNA from 1 species